rnacentral:piRNA from 1 species
UACACUAAUAUCUUGACCAUGGACCCUUGA